UUGAAUUCGACUGGAAACUGAAAUGCCCAAUAAACUUGAAUUUGAUCUGUGGGUAUAUUGAGGCAGAAGGCGGUAUGGAUGAUAGAAAACUUUCUCUUCCAUCCUCUGUGUAAGCAAUGCAAAGGAAGGAAGAUUGGAAGGUAGUUCUUUGCCGAGGGGAACCGAUGUAGGGAAAAUGGAGACUGACCCCUUGCUGCAAAAAUAUUCGACGACGGGUGACUCAUUAUAUGAGACACUAGGGCUGCAGAAGCAAGCUACAACAGAUGAGAUCAAGAAGACCUACCGCAAAUUAGCACUUAAGUAUCACCCCGACAAGAACCCCAAUAAUCCCGAAGCUGCGGAAAAGUUUAAGGAAAUCAACCAUGCCCAUGGUAUUCUCAGCGAUGCUACAAAGAGGAACAUAUACGACAACUACGGUUCACUUGGCCUUUAUAUUGCCGAACAGUUUGGCGAAGAAAAUGUCAAUACAUAUUUCUUAGUGAACUCUGGUUGGUGCAAGGCGCUCUUCCUCUUCUGUGGCCUGAUCACAGGUUGCUAUCUAUGCUGUUGCUUCUGUUGCUGCUUCAACUUCUGCUGCGGCAAAUGCAAACCUCGACCUCCAGAUGAGACCGGGGACUACCAUAAUCUCAACCCUGACCAAGCUGAGGGAGUUCAUACCGUUCAGCCUGGGACAUCAAGAAAGAAAGAGGACCUGAGCGACGACGAGGAAGGAAAGGCCGCAGGAGAACCCGUGACCUCACAGCCACCCCCAUCCACGAAUCCCUUCAGGACCCCUGGUGCCGGUGAGCCAAGUUCCGGCGGAGCCCAGCAGCCCGUGUUUGCCAUGCCUCCCCCCCAGCCAUCUCCCAACCCCACCAACCCCUUUGCCAUGGGGGCCGGGGCCACAGAGAACACGUCUCUCAACGCAAGCUCUCAACCCACAUAUUACACCCCAGAUUAAAUAAUGAGUAGUAGAAUCCCCCAGCCUGAAAAUAAUUUUGUUGCUGAGGAGUAGUUGAUUUUCUAAAGCAUUUAGGAGACUUUAGAGACAGAAUGUCACAGAAUGCCUCCCCUAGUCAUGGCCAGUACUGAGCAAGGGUCAAGUUAUACUAGAAUGAAUUUGCAGAACCAGUGGGAUUUGUCCCCUCCGGAGAUCUUGUUCUCCAAUGUCCUAGAUCCUCCUGUCUGCUAUGACUGUGGAAAGAUAUCAUGAUGUGUGUUUCGAUUAUCCCAGUGCGAGGCCUAGAAAGGACAACUUCAUUUGCAAUACUUUGUGUAAACCUUGAGUAUCCAGUGGCCGAGCUAGUGUUUGACUCGGCCGAGAUUUGUUGACGGAAUGUAGUGGAUUUUAACUUAUUUUUUCUUGUUUUUGGAGAUAAUACCCUUUUAGUCAUGUUGUCUCUUUCAGGCUGAUUUGUGUAACUGAUUGAGUGAUUAGAGAAUAUCCAUUUUGUUUUACAUUUACUUUUUUUUUUCUUUCUUUCUUUCUUUCUUUCUUUCUUUUUUGUAUUCUGUUUUGAAGUAUUUAGACCAGUAUUUUAUCUUGACUUGUUUCUUUAAAACUUUGAAUUCUAUAUAUUUAGAUAAAAACAACUUGUAAAGUUACCUGUGUUCUAACACCACCACUUUGGUAUUACAUUCCAAUAGUGUUCAUUAACUUGAAGAAAUAAUGGGAGUACAGUUGUCAAAGGACAAUAUCUUAUCAAGGCAUUUUUAACUCUUUUUAACUCUCAAAUGGACACAUAUUCGUCCCAUCAGUGAGGAGAUGUAUGUAUCUCAAGCAUCCAUGAAAGGACUUAAAUCCUUCAGUUUUUUUUCCCCUCAAUGUCCUUCAGUAUCAAGAGAAAUACUGUGUUGUUAUAGUGCCUCUAUUCAAAGGACAUUAGUAAAAUGAAAACAAUUAUCAUUUUCAUGUAUUUUUUCUUUUAUUUUUCUUUCUUGCAUCUCUUAUUUAUUUUUGUACUGAUAGCUUGCAGAAUACAUACUUAACAGUGCCAAUGAUUUUUUUGUUUGCCCUAUUACUCUAUAUAUUUUUAUUUGGUAUCCAGAAACAUGCAACACCAGUUGUAUUUACUAGAUUUAUUUAUUUAGUUCUUAACGGUAAGUCAACCCAUUUACUAUAUGUGAUAUCCAAAGGUGUAGAUGUGCAUUAUUUGAUUUGUAUAUCAUUUUGUGUUAUGUCAGCUUCCUUUACAAACAUAAAUACUGCUUGUAUUUAUUUAGAUUUUUUUUCUGUGUUUUCUCUAUAGCUAAAGGAAAAUUGGCUUUCUCUGUGUUUAGAAUCCAUGGUUAGAUGAAGAUGUAAAUAAUGGUGUUUGUUAAAAUAUGAUAUACACAUCUUGGUACUAUAUGCACCUUGAUUCCCAUGUAUUUGAUUAUGUCCGAGGCUGCAAUAAUUUGAAGGGAAGCUUUAAUUAACUAUUGAUAAUGCAAAAUAUGGCCUCAACAGUGCUGUGUAUUAAUUCAAACAUGUUCCUUCUUGAAUAUCGAAAACUAGUCAGAGUAUGUUGUACUUUUUCUGUUUCAUAAGAACUUAAAAAGCAUUGACUAUCAUCUGUUUCACUCUCUCUUGUGUAUCAUACUUUGUUAGUUAAGUUAAUGGGAAAGUUUUCAGUGGAUAUAAAAAGAGCUAUAUUAUGACAAUGAUUUACUGUAACUGCACCGAAUAGUCAGUUUCCUUGUGCAUCUUUACUGUGUUUGUGAUUUGCAUGUCUGUGUACAACUUCAGAAUUGGUAUAAUGUAAGGGUAUUUUCUGCAUCUCCUUGGUAACUCUGCGGAUCCAGGAAGAACUUGUUAGGUGCCUGGGCCUUUGGUAUGGGAAGGAGUUUCAGCUUUCUUCUGGGUAUUCGCGAACUCCUUUUUAUUCAUACCUACCUGGGUACGAGAAUUCUUUUGAACGAACCGUGGUGUACGACUUAUCAGACUCCUCCUGUAGAUAAUAUCCUUUACUUGUAUUUCUAGAACUGGGAUAUCUUUAAUACUAGAAAAAAUACAGUACAUCAUUGUAGAAAAUGUUUAGAGAAUUCAUUUCAUAAGUACUGUAGCAUCAUUGCCAUUAUGAUCAUUGUUGAUAUAUAUAAUUGUUAUGGUCGGGAAAAUAGAAUUUGGGAAGUAGUCUACGGCAGUUAUAAAGAGAACUUAUUCUGUGCACAGUUGUCCAUAGAAUUAGUGGGAAGAAAAAUAUAUAGAGGAAAAUAUCUUCAUUCGAGUUGCAUGUGAAACAUUCCAGUUGUAUGUGAAGAUGAUCGAGGUGACGUUUGAAAAAAAUUGAAAAACAGUGAGUAGUGGUAUACUAAUAUUGGUGGGAAGCAUUUGGUUUGUGCUUCUUUUGUUUUCUUUUUCUUUUUACUGUUAGUGUUUGUCAGAACUUGGAUCAGAGUAUUGAAAGACACUGUUUACUUUCAUUGUCUUCAAAGUUACUUUUUAAAAAUUGUACUUAUACCAGUUGUAGGUUUCAUUUUCAUCUUUGCUUCUGCUUCCUCUUCCUCUUCCUCUUCCCCUUGUACUUUUCUCCUCCUUUUUAUCCUUUAUUCCUUUUCUUCCUCUUCCCCUUCUACUCUUCUCCUUCUCUUUAUCCUGGUUCCUUUUCUUCCGCUUCCCUCUCCUGUUAUCCCGUAACUACUCUCUAUAUAACAUUUUUCUCAGCAGAGCAGGGAAUUUGAAAGUUAAUUACCUAAGGAAUUUGUGUGCAGUUCAUUUAUUUUGUUGACAUGCAAACUGGAUUACAUGAAAAGUUGAUUUAAUACUAUCUCUUGAUUUAUAUUGUGGUAUUAUGGCACUGCCAACCAGUGAAGAAAAGUCUUGAUGAUUUUCAAAAUCUAACAGUAUAUGCAGGGGAUUGGAGUGUACUUAGUGUUUGUGAGGGACAGGAACAACUAAAGCAUUUGAAGAAUAUAUUGUAUGUCUAAUGUAAAGCAUAAUGAUGAGCCUAGGUCUAAUUAAUCACUAAUAAAAGAAAAAAAAAACUACUUGCAUUUUCUGUAAGCUUUGAACUCAUAUACAUUUAUAUAUAUACAUAUCUACACAUGAAGAAAAGUCACAAGUACACACAGUACUCUUAUUAUUUCCAUCUAAACACCGCACGUUUUUUGAGUGCUUUUACUGACUUUGCUCUAAGUUCACACUACAUGUAUAAAGAGUAUCCAAAUUUUGAUUUUGUAAUAUAUAUAAGCUGUUAGAUGUAAAUUAGUUGCAAAAGGAAAUCCCACCCAGUCGUUUAGGUUGUCCUAAGGGUCCCUAAAUUUUGUCAACUGUUGUCCAUCAUCGCUGCCACAGUAUAUGGUUUGAUGCCUGAGGAACCCUGCCAAGGAACCUUUACAUGUGGGAAAAACCAUCAUUGCAUCGGCAGUGUUACAUUUCUCCUCCAUCCAGUAGAAGCACAAGAGAUCAUCAAAAUGACAUGCUUAAUAACUUCAGAUCUUUUCUUUUUUAUAUAUACAUAUAUUUUCCUCUCGUUUAUCUUUUCUUCAGGUCUUAUUCUCGUUCUUCCAUUUUAACUUGACAAAAAAGAAAAAAAAAAAGACAAUUUCUCCCCCUCUAUACAUGAUGCUGCAGUUUUACAUUGAUAUUCUGUCUGCAGUUAAUGCACCUUGUUCUAUGUGUCAUGAGGAUGAUGGGUAGAAUUAUGCUAAUGGUAUCGUGUAUAUAUUAUAAGUAAAAGUUCUGUAAUUCAUGUGUAUAUAUAUAGUGUCCAAAUUUUCCAUUCAAGCUUUCUGCAAUAUAGUAAUCAUCACGGUUGAAUGAAGGUAAUGCAUGCUGUUCUAGUUUCUCCUCUGGAAGCACGAUUAUAUAUCAUCAUCUUUAGAAAACUUCUAAUCCAAUCUCAAGAGCAAUUGCAAAUCAAAUAUAAGCAUUGUUCUCUGCCGUCAUCCUCACUUUGUGUCUUACGACUUUACUGGAGAACUAACUAUGAGGUGUCGUCAGUCUGUAGGCCUUGUAUAUAAGAUGAAAGUUACUGUUGAUUAUGAAGAUGAUACCCAAUAUGCAUGUAACGAAACUGUAGAGAGAAUAUAAAAGUCCCACCAUUUCA